rnacentral:rRNA from 1 species
UACAGAGGUCUCAAGCGUUGUUCGGAUUCAUUGGGCGUAAAGGGUGUGUAGGUGGCGCGCUAAGUCGGGUGUGAAAUUUCGGAGCUUAACUCCGAAACUGCAUUCGAUACUGGCGUGCUUGAGGACUGGAGAGGAGACUGGAAUUCAUGGUGUAGCAGUGAAAUGCGUAGAGAUCAUGAGGAAGACCAGUGGCUAAGGCGGGUCUCUGGACAGUUCCUGACACUGAGACACGAAGGCCAGGGGAGCAAACGGG